GUAUUUUUAGUAGAGACAGGGUUUUACCACAUUGGCCAGGCUGGUCUCCAACUCCUGACCUCAAGUGAGCCUCCUGCCUCUGUCUCCCAAAGUACUGAGAUUACAGCCAUCUCACCUGGCCAGAUUGUUAAUUUUAAAAAGUCAAGCAACAGAAGAAAAAUGAGCAAAAGAAAUCAUCAGUAAUUCAGGAAGGAAAUCUAAAUAUGAUCAAGCACGUAAAAAUUUGCAAUCGGCCGGGCACGGUGGCUUAUUCCUGUAAUCCUAGCACUUCAGGAGGCUGAGGCGGACAGAUCACCUGAGGUCAGGAGUUCGAGACCAGCCUGGCCAACAUGGCGAAACCCUGUCUCUACUAAAGAUACAAAAAUUGAUCGGGCAUGGUGGUGGGCGCCUGCAAUCCCAGCUACUUGCGAGGCUGAGGCAGGGAGAAUCACUUGAACCCGGGAGGCAGAGGUUGCAGUGAGCUGAGAUCAUGCCAUUGCACUCCAGCCUGGGCAACAGAGCAAGACUGUCUCAAAAAAAAAAAAAUUUCCAAUCUCAUUGUGUUCAAACACCAGCCCAGACAAGUUCCCUUUGGCUCGGAAUGAUUACACCCAUUGUGGGUGAGGGCAUGGGAGGCAGACACCAUCUUCUCUGCUGGGGAGGGUACACCUGGGCACAACUUCUCUGGAAGGUGGCAGGUAUGAAAAGCCUCUUCAAAAUCAGCAUAUCGGCCAGGCACGGUGCUCACAUCUGUAAUCCCAGCACUUUGGGAGGCUGAGGUGGGAGGAUCAUUUGAUCCCAGGAGUUUUGAGACCAGCCUGGGCAACAUAGUGAGACGCUGCCUUGACAAAGAAUUUAAAAAUUAGCCAGGAGUGGUGGCUCAUGACCUUAGUCCCACCUACUCAGGAGACUGCAGAAGGACUGCUUGAGCACGGGAGGUUGAGGCUGCAGUGAGCCUUGACUAGGCCAUUGCACUCCAGUCUAGGCACUAGAGUGAAAUCCUAUUUAAAAAAAAAAAUCUGCACACUUUUACAUUAGCAAGGCCAUUUCUAGGAAAGUAUCCUGAGGAAACAUUUCAGAUUCUAAGGAAGGACUUUCCUGUAGGUGUGCUGUUUAGAAGAGCUGAACGCUGAAAACUGUAAUGCCCACAAGCAGAGGACUGGGUCAAAAUGAGCGUGCUAAAACCAUGCCAAGGAAUGCCACACAGUGGUCCAAAUUACAUUGUAGAAAAAGUUUGCUUUUUCUGAUUAUAAAA
rnacentral:lncRNA from 10 species